UGGCCUUAAAUUGCUCUAGUAUUCCCUUGAUUGGCCAUUUGAAUGUAUACACUUGGAUUUGUUUAGGUCCCCUUCUAUAUUGUCACUCCUUAUAGUAUUCUUACUCAGUCUUCUAUUGCUUCUGAUUGAUUUUAUCAUGUCUACAUAAUCCAUUACUAGAUGUUUGAAUGGCCCUUCUGGGACUGGUAUGUGGCCUAUAGGUGCAGAUGUUCCUUUCCUAACAUUGUUUUGGGUGCAAACUUUGCAUUCAGAUAAAUACUCAUCCACCAUUGCCUGUAAACAAGGUGACCAAAAUCCUUGUCACUUUAUUUAUUUAUUUUUUAUUGACUCCCCCCCCUCAGAGAUAAAGAUUUCAAGCAAUGGAGUAGGAGCAAUCAUAUGGCUCUCAUGAAAUUGUCAAAGCCCAUUUUGCAUUACGUGUUGUUUCCCUUUGUUGCCAUAGACUAAUUUCAUAUGGUGUAGCUUGAUGUUGCAUCCAUGCAAUCAUUAAUUGUGGUUGAGGUUGAAUCAGAACAGAGGGAGCCAUUAUUUUUGUUUCACAGCCUGAGGCAUUUCUAGAAUAUUUAUUUACUGCAUUAUUGCCUUGUAUCAUUGCCCUCUUAGUUAGCUGGAUUGAUUUGUAUAUGUUUUAAACAUGCAAAUAGAACGGUUUGUCAUACGUGGGCAUGGUCAAGACAGGAGCAGUCUGUAAUUCUUUUUUUUUUUUAUUGAAAUGCUAUUAGUGCUUCAGUAUUACAUACCAGUGGUGCCCUAAGAUUCUGAUGGCCCACUUGCUUCAUUAGUGCUCUUAGUGGAGCUGUUUUGAUUGCAUAAUCAUCAUUCCAAUCUGCACUAAAACUUGUCAUCCCC